rnacentral:lncRNA from 1 species
CGAUCGAUGCAGAGGCCGGAGCACUACUACAAAACGUUCAUCAGUAACGGUCAAAAAAAUGCAUCAGUAACGGGCGUCCUGACCGUCACUAACUUCCUGCCAGUGAUCAUAGGCAUCAUCACUAAUGGUCGUUCCACUUCCAUCAUCAGUGGCGGUUGAAUCCCCAAGACCGUCACUGAUAUACAUUUCACGAUUUAAAAAAAAAUACGGCCACAAGCCGGCAUAUUUUGAUCGUGGUUGAAUAUAAAAAUACCACAUCACAUAAUAAGCACCCCAAAUCACGGAUUACAACAGGACAAGUCGCAAAAAAUUAACGGAAAAAAAAUCCAAAGCUCUCCAUCGCCCGCAUCGCCCUCCAUGGCAGCAACGGCUCCUUGGUCGAGGUCGUGGAACGCCGGAUCCGCGCGGUCGAGGCGGGGGAAGGCCGGCUCCGGCGAUAUUGAAGCCAGGGAAGCUCGCCGUCAUAGGAGGUCGCCGUCGUUGUGUGCAUCUCCAUACCGUUCCUGGAACAAACACAGUAGAGAGAAAUCAGAGGGGAAUCGCGCACGCCGCAAUAGAGAGAAGGAAAGAGAAGGAAAGAGACUUACCGUCGUCAUAGAGGGAGGCCGGAUCUCGGCAGGGCUUGGCGCUGCGCAGGAUGGCUGGGUGCCGCGGCAGAGAGAGGGGAGAGCACGCACGCCGGCGGCGGUGGCAGGGUCGUGGGAUCUCGACGAGGCUGGCGGCGAGAGAGAGAGAGAGAGAGAGAGAGAAGAGAAGCGAGCAGGAGAGGAAAGAUCCGGGGGGGAGGAGAGAUCGAUCGGGGGGGAGAGGAGAGGAGAUCGGGAAGAGGAGAGAGCAGAGGGAAGAGGAGAGAUCGGGGGGGAGAGGAGAGAUCGGGUUGGGGAGAUGGGUGGCAGCGGCUGGGAGCGAGG